GAAGAAGCAAAGCCGUUGUUCCGUCAUUCCGUGGGGGAGGCAAGAGGGAGCCCCCAAGCCAUUUCGGAAGGAAUGUUUCCUGGUGAGGGCUGGGCACCAGGAUGACCCUGAUUCCAGGAUGAAUGGCGGUCGUGAGGGAAGCAUUGGGAAAAAGGACAACUUUUCUAGCAGCCAGGAUGAGAAGUGAACUUCUGUGAACCAGAAAUGGAGG
rnacentral:lncRNA from 1 species